rnacentral:rRNA from 1 species
CCUACGUGAGGCAGCAGUGAGGAAUAUUGGUCAAUGGGCGCGAGCCUGAACCAGCCAAGUCGCGUGAGGGAAGACGGUCCUAUGGAUUGUAAACCUCUUUUGUCGGGGAGCAAAAGACGCCACGCGUGGCGUUCCGAGAGUACCCGAAGAAAAAGCAUCGGCUAACUCCGUGCCAGCAGCCGCGGUAAUACGUAGGGGGCAAGCGUUAUCCGGCUUUACUGGGUGUAAAGGGAGCGUAGACGGCAUAGCAAGUCUGAAGUGAAAGCCCAAGGCUCAACCAUGGGACUGCUUUGGAAACUGUUAAGCUAGAGUGCUGGAGAGGUAAGCGGAAGUCCGAGUGGAGCGGUGAAAUGCGUAGAUAUUAGGAAGAACACCAGUGGCGAAGGCGGCUUACUGGACAGUAACUGACGUUGAGGCUCGAAAGCGUGGGGAGCAAACAGGAUUAGAUACCCCUGUAGUC